UGUUGGUUCUCCCGCAAUGAUAACUUGUUAAGUUGGUCAGGUCUUGAAAGAAGCAGCCAUAGCAAGGUGUGUAUGUGCCGGGAUGAUGCCGCUGACA
rnacentral:SRP_RNA from 1 species